AGUUUAAAACUGUGCCUAAACACAGUACAUAUCACCUGGGGAUAAUUUGUUGUAGAAAAUGAAGGCAGUAUGAAAUGUACAGUAAGACAAAUGGUCCAUGGACUUAUUAUCUGAAGGGAAGAAAAUAAAUGGGAAGUCCAUCCAGGAAUCUCAUUCUGCAUUAAUGUUUUUAAGGGGUUAAUCCAGGGAGAGCAGCAAAUAAGUGUCUACAAGGCUCUCUGGAACCAGCUUCUGUACUCGGAACAUCCGGCUCAUGGAGAUGUCCCAUCUGCAGCACACAUGGGAAAGGCAGAGGGCAUCUGGGCCAAGUGUGGAUGGCAUGGAAGGGUCUACUCGCUUGCUUACUUGGUAAAAUGAUGGAGACGCAAGUCACAUGUAGAAACUUUUCUUCACUGCAUAUUUCCUGAGACUCAGAAGGAUGGAAGGUUCAUUGCGUAUGUGUGUGUGUUCCCCAACCAUUAACUGAAGUUCAUGAAAUGUGAUUAAUAAGAGCCUUCCCCUACGUUGACUUACAGUUCUGCCAAUCUUUUUGGCCCAGAUGAGACGCUAUAUUUUUGUUCCCAAGAAAAGAAAUCAUGGCCACCAUCAUCAUCACCUUGGCUGCUACUUACUGUGCGCUUACGGCACUGGACACUGUUAGGUGAUACUGUGUGCCUCAUCUCGUGGGAUCCUUACCAUUCAUAUAGUCCUCAUUUUAGGCUUGAGAAAACUGAAGCUCUGAGUCUGGAGUCAGGAUUUGAAUUUUGUGCUAUUAAGCUCCUGCUCUUUUUACCACUUAAUGCCCCAAGGGCAGAAUUUUUUUAAGUGAACAUUAAUGAGACCUUCCUUAAACAAUGUCUAUUUUAAUGACUGCAAACAGCACUGUAUUUUUUCUAAGGCCAAUGAAAAUAGCAAUAUUCAUGACGCUAGGAAAGAAAGGUGCAACAAAUCUGGAGCUGAUUCUCACCUCUUUAUAGCCUGAUUUAUAAGGGCAAAGAAGUUAGAAGUCUGCUCUAGAUGGAGGCCUAUUAGGUUGUCUUUAUUUCCAAAAAAGAAAAAGAGAAAAAAACUGACAGCAAAACCUCAACAACUCAUUUUCAACUUUUAAGAGCUCAGAAAGGUAGUCUAAGCUAUUAAAGACUAUUUAUUGUCUUCUUUUUUUUUUUUUUUAACAUUUCAUCAUCCUAAAUUUUUCUUGAGCAUGUAAGAACUUGCUGUUCAGGUGUCUUUAUAGAGCAAUUUUCUAUAGCCAAGUUACACAUCUUAAAAUAAUGACUUAUAAUGGAAAUUGGGCAUGAGGUGGCUGCAGCAUUAGCUAAAUAGCACCAUUAGAAUAUGCUGUAUUACAAAAAAAUAAACACUUGGGUACUUCAGCUUUUAAAUAAAAUCCCUAAAAGCAAGGCAUCUGUGGCAAAUGCAGUAAUAAUAUUUAACAAUUGUGGAGAGAGUGGUGAAAAUGGCAAAAAGUGACCAACCAUUGGAGAACCUGGAAAUGUUGUAUAGUUAAGAUCUGUCCUGAACCUCCCAAAAGGAUUUAGGUAUAAAGACUCUCUUGCAACCUAGUUUUCUUUUUCUUCUUUGUGCUGCUAUAAUGUCUGAUGUCUGUAGGUUGGGAAGCAAGGUUUUUUCUUCUUUCAAUAUUUCUUUUAAAUGAACACGUUCUUUAAGUUAUAGCAUUGCCUAUCCAAUGAGGUCAUUCUUGGAUUAUUGAAAUUUCUUUCCUCUGCACAUUGAUGGAGUUAUAUUACCAAAGAUUCUGACUUUCUACUCUUGAAAAUAAAUCUU